rnacentral:lncRNA from 1 species
UCUUCAGCAUAGCAACAGCAGCGUAGCUGAACAUCUUACGGAUGGCCCAGGGCUCCAAAGGCUCGUUUCCUAAGUGAGAGAGAGCCUGGCUGAAGCUGUAUUACCAUUCAUUCUCCAGCCUCCGAAGUCUCAAAGCAUCACUUCCACCAUACUCUAACUGUCAAGACAAACACAAAGGCCCAGAAACUGCCAGACUGUCUUCUGAAGUGGCUAUAAUAUUUACACUCCCAUCAGCAGUGUAGAAGGGGUCUCACUAUGUUGUCUGGAGUGCUGUGGUGGAGUGGAGUGGCUAUUCACAGAGCCUGUUCUGCUGGGACACAGAAUCACUUGCUCCAUCUCAUACAUUGAUGAUGAUUAAUUUGUAUGUGUACCUUCCAAAAAAGAUGGUUGUGUUUGAAUGGAGGCCUUCUGGACAGGAAAAUUGCAAAGUACAAUUAACAUUUGAGUCUGUCUGAGUCAUGAAGAAAUGGAGAUUACUGAAAAUAAUUCAUUUUGGUAUCUUCUUACAUCCUGAGAGACUAAUCUUUCCAAGUUCAUCUGAGGCUCCUCUUCUCCAUGACAACCUCAUCCAGGGAUUUCUUCCUGUCCUGGUGUUUUAUGACAUCAUCCUCAUCUCGCUUGUAAGGAUAAUAGCCUUCCUCCAAACCUCACACACUUUUGGAGGAGAUCACUUUUUUUAAAGUGCAUGGAAAUGUUUUGAAACAGUGAAAUCUAUAAUGAUAGGUUUCAUAAUUCUAACAUCCACACCAUAUGAAUCACAUCCUUCCUGAGAUAAUGAGCACACAAUUGCCUGGAUACCUGAAGGAAUGGAGACAGCGGCAGAAAACACUGCAGAGAGGUGGAAACAUCCGUUAAUAUUUUAAAAUCCCAUUACUGCUACCAACAAUAAUAAUGGAUGCAUAGAAAUAGAUCUGGAUUAGCUGAGCUUGAAACAGUCCAUCUCACACACACACAAAAGAAUUUCAGAUACAGUGAACCCACAUGUUGAAGCUUUCUAGUAUAAUAAAAAUUUCAACUGUUCUGUUGAAUCAUCUGCCUGAUUGGAGGCUACAGAAAAGAUGUCAUCUUAGGAGUGCUUGCUCUGAGUGAGGCUCAUCUUCAAAUCUGAAUGACCACAAGGAGAUUUGAUUAUACAUGUGAACACCUCAGAAGGCACAGCCCACCCAGAAGGCAGACAGGUCAGGCUGCUUUUUCUUCAUUGCUUGGAUUCAAUCCUCCGGGCGGCUCAGGCUCAAACAUAACUUAAGCAUGAUUAAACUUUAGAAGAAGCUGCCAGGAAGACUGUGAAAUCUUCAUGCCCAAGGAUCCCUAAAAUUAGGAGCAACAACCACUUGGCUCAGACGGUUUAUGGAGGCAAAGGUUUGGAUGGGAUUAGAGAUUUCUAAAUGUGAGUUCGUGUCCUCUGCCAGACCACCUUACUUCCACCAUUCCUCAGCAAAUCAAGAAAAACAGGAGAAAAGACAUGCCUUUCCAUAAGUUAAAUCUAUUCUGUUUUAAUUCUAUAUUAUAUCUGCUGUACAACUUCUUUUGUUUGUAACACCAUAUUGUUGCUAGUAACUGGAAAUUAAUUUUCACAUGCCUCAGCUUAGAAAAAUAAAAAGCAGCCCUGCAUCAAUCCCAA